UAUGGGUAAUUGUGUGCCAGCCGCGGUAAUACGUAUGGUGCAAGCGUUAUCCGGAUUUACUGGGUGUAAAGGGAGCGUAGACGGAGUGGCAAGUCUGAUGUGAAAACCCGGGGCUCAACCCCGGGACUGCAUUGGAAACUGUCAAUCUAGAGUACCGGAGAGGUAAGCGGAAUUCCUAGUGUAGCGGUGAAAUGCGUAGAUAUUAGGAGGAACACCAGUGGCGAAGGCGGCUUACUGGACGGUAACUGACGUUGAGGCUCGAAAGCGUGGGGAGCAAACAGG
rnacentral:rRNA from 1 species